AGGUAUAUAGUUCAGUUGGUCAGAGCACCUCUCUGAUACAGAGGAAGUCAUAGGUUCAAGUCCUAUUAUACCUA
rnacentral:tRNA from 1 species